rnacentral:rRNA from 1 species
UACGGGGGUGCGAGCGUUGUCCGGAAUUACUGGGCGUAAAGGGCGCGUAGGGGGUUUGAUAAGGGUGUGGUGAAAGUCCGGGGCUCAACCCCGGAUCUGCCGUGCCGACUGUCAAACUCGAGGGCUGUAGAGGCAGACGGAAUUCCGGGUGUAGCGGUGGAAUGCGUAGAGAUCCGGAGGAAGACCGGUGGCGAAGGCGGUCUGCUGGGCAGUUUCUGACACUGAUGCGCGAAAGCGUGGGGAGCAAACAGG